rnacentral:lncRNA from 1 species
UUUAUCAAAUUCCUAACUCGUUCAUUGUUUAUGCAUCGUUCGCGAAGUCUCAAUCUUCUAGAAUUUGAUCCUGAAAUCGAAGGGACUUUCCGAAAGAGGCUUAGAGAACAAAACGAGUUGAAAAGACAACAAUGAGACAUGGAGCAUCAAGAAGGUCAUCUGGACCCUCUUAUUCGACAUGAACAAGCUCCUCGGGAUGGUGUGCCGCCUGGUUUUGAUAAUCAAGCGGGCAGGGUUCAAAAUCCUGUAGUCAAUGAGGAAGAUAUGUUGUUUAGGGAUUUUC